UCAGGUUUUCAGUUGGACGGCCGAAAGAACUGAAGCCCGCCGCCAGUGUUUGUUCAUGUCCUUAAAAUGUUGUGACUGCGAGUAUUUGAGAUAUUGGCAGCCAUGGAAUAGACUUUUGUGGUCACUAAUAAGUUUUUUACGAGAAACUUCGACGAGUCAUAGUUGUUCCUUUCGAGGACUCUGUGCUAAGGAUAUUUUUUCGUCGAUGAAGUGUGUUAAUGCAAUGCCGUGAAGCAAGUCUUUUAAAUACGCCUCACUCUACUCCCAGAUUCAUGCAUGAGGAAACUGGAAUAAGAGAUUCGACUACCAAGAUCCUGUAAGAAUCUCCAUUAUAAGAUAUAUAAUAUUCUUAACCUUUUGCAAUAGCAACCUUCCAAGAACUUUAGUCUGUCGGUUACCAGUUCAUGGAUUGGGGAGGACCAUUUUUUGAGUGUUUAUUCUGCUUCUGCCAUGAAACUGAAAACUCUUCAAUAGUACUUCCAGAUAAUUUCUGCCGCUCCUCGUAGGAUACAAGGGAUGCCUCGGAGAAUUCUCGACCUAAAAUAAAUGUCAAAUGCCAGUCCCGUCAGGUCAUCUAAACAUUCACGUCACGUUAUGUCAACAUUUCAGAACUGCCGUCAUGCCAAUAUUUGCCACAGAGAAUAUAAGCAAGUUGAAUGUGAAGGCAGUUGAACGUGUGUGAGAAAAUUAAACCAGAUACAUUAUUUAUUGCCUAGUCAUCGGAGGCAUCAAGUUUGCUAUCCUCGACCAAGAGCCAUCCUAUCCCUUGAAGAAUAUACGGUUUGAAGUUCACGUUACUGAACAAAUGAUGGAACAAAAAGAUCAUCAUAUUUAGGU